UCAUUUAUUCUAGUUUAUGGUCAACUAGAUGAAGUGUGGCCCCAUGUUAGAUCAAAGUAUUUGUUCCCGAUGUGCAGUUUCAAUAUCAAGUAGUAUUAGUGGCUAACAAAACAACGAUCUUCUGGACUACGAUGAAUUCGAAGGCCUUUCAUCAAAGCUACGAUUUACACUCGUCAAGUUGUUAUUGAUAGAUUUGAAGGACUUCAAAGGACUUCCAAUAAAAAUUCUGGUCUAGAGGUGAUGCACUAGUAGAAAAAGGACGAUUUGCGUCGCCCCAUUUGAGUCGCACUGAAACGGAAACGAUGCAAUAACGUAAUUUGCGUCGCAUGCAAGGAGUGCGACGCAUAACAUAGGUACGUGAGCACCAGUACGAGCUAUAUGCGUCGCACGUGCCUCUGGUGCGUUGCAAAAGCUCAAUGUGCAUCGGACCACCUGGAGCAUACGACGCAGAUCAUCUCCUCUUUGAUAAAAAAAAUUCACACUAUGUGCGUCGCACUAUCCUAUGGUGCGUUGCAAAAGAAUAAAUUGCGUCGGACCCAUGGUCCCAUCCGACGCAAGCCCACAUCUCACAAACACUUAAAAUAUUCUAACAUUACACGCCCACUCCUCUCACCCUCUAACCUAAAACUCCUUCUCAUCACCCUCUAACCUAAAACUUCCCUACUCUCUCUCUAAGAGCCGCUACUCUCUCUCCUUCUCACCCUCUAACCUAAAAAAAGUAGAUCUUAUUUGUCUUCAACACAAAUUGACCGGCCAAAAUCAAACAGCUCAAACUCUCUCUCUCCGGCGAACAAGGACGAACUCUUUACAAUUUGAUAUGAACGAACUGAUUUUAUACUCAAUCGACGAACUGAUAUGAACAUUGACGAACUCUUUACAAUCGACGAACUCUUUACAAUCUACAAUUUUGAUCUGUUUUUGGUUUCUCUGGAAGUUUUCUUUGUCGGAAAUAGAAGGAAAUUGAAGUACAGAACGUUUAGAGGUACUUGAUGAAGAAUCUCACGCUAUAGGAUUUCGUGUUGUAGCUGGCGAACAUCGCUUACACAACUACCGAUCAAUCACCAGUUUACACCCAUUGACUUAGUCCACUGAUGAAUCCUCCACUUGCAACAAGGGGACAGUAGUGGUUGAAUCUUAUUUGGUAGAUGUACACCUGGUAAUACAAAAGAAGAAACAUGUGUUUUUGUGGAUACUAUUGUACGCUGCAACUUACAAUCCCUUACAAAGAUAGCCGAGAGAAGGGCUAAAUCAUGUUCAUCAACUACAUCAUCACCAUCAUCAUCAUGUAAAGUAUCAUGAAUGAUUUUUUUUUUUAUAUGUUUGAAGAUCAAUUUUUUUUGUUCACUGUUGAUACCCAGAUAAUUAGGAUUUUUCUUUCUUUCCCUUAACUUUUGGGAGAGAGAUUGUAAAUAUGGUUACACUUACACCAUUAGGUUGUUUGGUAACAUUUGCUCCACCCAUGUUAUUUGUCGUUAAUUAUUGCCAUUUUCAGUACUUUUUUUAA